rnacentral:rRNA from 1 species
CAUUAGCUAGACGGCGGGGUAACGGCCCACCGUGGCGACGAUGCGUAGGGGUUCUGAGAGGAAGGUCCCCCACACUGGUACUGAGACACGGACCAGACUCCUACGGGAGGCAGCAGUGAGGAAUAUUGGUCAAUGGGAGAGAUCCUGAACCAGCCAAGCCGCGUGAGGGAAGACGGCCCUAUGGGUUGUAAACCUCUUUUGUCGGAGAACAAAACCCGGGACGAGUCCCGGACUGCGUGUAUCCGAAGAAAAAGCAUCGGCUAACUCCGUGCCAGCAGCCGCGGUAAUACGGAGGAUGCGAGCGUUAUCCGGAUUUAUUGGGUUUAAAGGGUGCGUAGGCGGUCUGUUAAGUCAGCGGUAAAAUUGCGGGGCUCAACCCCGUCGAGCCGUUGAAACUGGCAGACUUGAGUUGGCGAGAAGUACGCGGAAUGCGCGGUGUAGCGGUGAAAUGCAUAGAUAUCGCGCAGAACUCCGAUUGCGAAGGCAGCGUACCGGCGCCAGACUGACGCUGAGGCACGAAAGCGUGGGGAUCGAACAGGAUUAGAUACCCUGGUAGUCCACGCAGU